GACGUAGGGCGCGAGCGUUGUCCGGAUUUAUUGGGCGUAAAGAGCGUGUAGGCGGCUCGAUAAGUCUGCUGUGAAAGUCCAGGGCUCAACCCUGGAAGGCCGGUGGAAACUGUCGGGCUAGAGUCCGGAAGAGGCGAGUGGAAUUCCCGGUGUAGCGGUGAAAUGCGCAGAUAUCGGGAGGAACACCAAUGGCGAAGGCAGCUCGCUGGGACGGUACUGACGCUGAGACGCGAAAGCGUGGGGAGCAAACAGG
rnacentral:rRNA from 1 species